GAGUUUGAUCUUGGCUCAGAUUGAACGCUGGCGGCAUGCCUUACACAUGCAAGUCGAACGGCAGCACGGGAGCUUGCUCCUGGUGGCGAGUGGCGAACGGGUAAGUAAUGCAUCGGAACGUAUCCUGGAGUGGGGGAUAACGUAGCGAAAGUUACGCUAAUACCGCAUAUUCUGUGAGCAGGAAAGCGGGGGACCUUCGGGCCUCGCGCUCUUGGAGCGGCCGAUGUCGGAUUAGCUAGUUGGUGAGGUAAAGGCUCACCAAGGCGACGAUCCGUAGCAGGUCUGAGAGGAUGAUCUGCCACACUGGAACUGAGACACGGUCCAGACUCCUACGGGAGGCAGCAGUGGGGAAUUUUGGACAAUGGGGGCAACCCUGAUCCAGCCAUGCCGCGUGAGUG
rnacentral:rRNA from 1 species